rnacentral:rRNA from 1 species
UACAGAGGUCCCAAGCGUUGUUCGGAUUCACUGGGCGUAAAGGGUGCGUAGGCGGUCUCGUAUGUCUGAUGUGAAAUCCCCGGGCUCAACCCGGGAAGUGCAUUGGAAACUGCGAGACUGGAGUCCCGGAGAGGAAGGUGGAAUUCCAGGUGUAGCGGUGAAAUGCGUAGAUAUCUGGAAGAACACCGGUGGCGAAGGCGGCCUUCUGGACGGUGACUGACGCUGAGACGCGAAAGCGUGGGGAGCGAACGGG